GAAUUCCUGAAUCUAUUGGUACCUCCAGGUCCAAUUCAGGUCAUAUAAGAUAACACACUACAUGCAAAUUCCAAUUUCUUUUCAAAAUCCCUAGGAAAAUUGAAGAGAAUCACACCUAGCUAUUAAAGACAAAUCCUGGGUAACACGCCAAAACUAGUCACUCACACCCAACCACGAAAAACCCACUCAGACAACACUCAAAUAAACCAUGCUAAAACCACUUCACAAUGACAUCCACACAAAGAUAUCACUAUUGUUGCUUGCACUCGGCCGGUCGAUCCACCUGCUGACCAUCAGCGCCGCUCUUCUUCUUUCUGGUUGUCUUCUUGGACUUGCUACCCUCCUCUUCAUCCUCCUCGUCAUCCUCAUCAUCA
rnacentral:misc_RNA from 1 species